ACUCCUACGGGAGGCAGCAGUGGGGAAUAUUGCACAAUGGGGGAAACCCUGAUGCAGCGACGCCGCGUGAGUGAAGAAGUAUUUCGGUAUGUAAAGCUCUAUCAGCAGGGAAGAGAAUGACGGUACCUGACUAAGAAGCCCCGGCUAACUACGUGCCAGCAGCCGCGGUAAUAC
rnacentral:rRNA from 1 species